AUUGAACGCUGGCGGCAGGCCUAACACAUGCAAGUCGAGCGAGCGGCGGACGGGUGCGUAAUGCCUGGGAAGUGCACAGUCGAGGGGGAUAACAGUUGGAAACGACUGCUAAAACCGCAUACGAAGGGAUUGCCCAGGUGGGAUUAGAUAGUUGGUGAGGUAAUGGCUCACCAAGGCGACGAUCCCUAGCUGGUCUGAGAGGAGGAGCAGCCACACUGGAACGUAGACACGGUCCAGACUACUACGGGAGGGAGCAGUGGGGAAGAUUGCGCAAUGGGGGAAAGCCUGAUGCGGCCCUGCCGCGUGUGUGAAGAAGGCCUUCGGGUUGUAAAGCACUUUCAGCGAGGAGGCGUUACUCGCAGAAGAAGCACCGGCUAACUCCGUGCCAGCAGCCGCGGUAAUUC
rnacentral:rRNA from 1 species